rnacentral:rRNA from 1 species
AAACAUAGCUCCUGGAUAUAAAACAAACAACAUCAGGAGUGAGACCUGCCCGGUGAAAAGUUUUUAACGGCUGCAGUAUUCUGACUGUACUAAGGUAGCAUAAUCAUUUGGCCUUUAAUUGGGGUCUGGGAUGAAGGGUUACACGGAAUAUAACUGUCUCAAAUUUAUUAAUUAGAAUUUAACUUUGAAGGUGAAGAGGCCUCGCUAAGAAAGAAAGACGAGAAGACCCCAGAGAGCUUUUGGUAAUUGGCUGAAGACUUUAGUAUAAUUAUCUUUUAAUUGGGGCGAUUCAGGAACCGAUAAAGCUUCUUAUAUAUUCAAACAAAUAAAAGGAACCUUUAAUAAGGGUUAAUUAAAUAAAAGUUACCUUGGGGAUAACAGCAUAAUUUUUGUUAAGAGACCAAAUCUAAACAAAAGUUUAUGACCUCGAUGUUGGACUAGGGGCGCUAUAUAUUGCUGAUGCAGGAGUCAAAUAAGCUAGUCUGUUCGACUAUUAAAUCCCUACAUGAUCUGA